rnacentral:rRNA from 1 species
UGGGGAAUAUUGCACAAUGGGCGCAAGCCUGAUGCAGCCAUGCCGCGUGUGUGAAGAAGGCCUUCGGGUUGUAAAGCACUUUCAGCGAGGAGGAAGGUGGUGAACUUAAUACGUUCAUCAAUUGACGUUACUCGCAGAAGAAGCACCGGCUAACUCCGUGCCAGCAGCCGCGGUAAUACGGAGGGUGCAAGCGUUAAUCGGAAUUACUGGGCGUAAAGCGCACGCAGGCGGUUUGUUAAGUCAGAUGUGAAAUCCCCGGGCUCAACCUGGGAACUGCAUUUGAAACUGGCAAGCUAGAGUCUCGUAGAGGGGGGUAGAAUUCCAGGUGUAGCGGUGAAAUGCGUAGAGAUCUGGAGGAAUACCGGUGGCGAAGGCGGCCCCCCUGGACGAAGACUGACGCUCAGGUGCGAAAGCGUGGGGCAGCAAACAGGAUUAGAUACCCUGGUAGUCCACGCUGUAAACGAUGUCGAUUUGGAGGUUGUGCCCCUUGAGGCGUGGNUUCCGGAGCUAACGCGUUAAAGUCGACCGCCUGGGGGAGUUACGGCC